GCUGAAGAACGUAGCGAAAUGCGAUAAGUAAUGUGAAUUGCAGAAUUCAGUGAAUCAUCGAAUCUUUGAACGCACCUUGCGCUCUUUGGUAUUCCGAAGAGCAUGCCUGUUUGAGUGUCAUGAAAAUAUCAACCUUGACUUGGGUUUUGUGCUCUAGUCUCGGCUUGGAAUUGGGUGCUUGCCGCUUUUACGAGCGGCUCACCUUAAAUGUAUUAGCUGGAUCUGUCUUUGAGACUUGGUUUGACUUGGCGUAAUAAGUAUUUCGCUAAGGACAUUCUUCGGAGUGGCCUCGUUUCUAGGACGCUUGUCCGCUUUCCAAUACAAGUUCCACCUCGUGGACAUGACUUUUUAUUAUCUGGCCUCAAAUCAGGUAGGACUACCCGCUGAACUUAAGCAUAUCAAUAAGCGGAGGA
rnacentral:misc_RNA from 1 species